UACGUAGGUGGCAAGCGUUGUCCGGAAUUAUUGGGCGUAAAGCGCGCGCAGGCGGUCCUUUAAGUCUGAUGUGAAAGCCCACGGCUCAACCGUGGAGGGUCAUUGGAAACUGGAGGACUUGAGUACAGAGGAGGAAAGCGGAAUUCCACGUGUAGCGGUGAAAUGCGUAGAGAUGUGGAGGAACACCAGUGGCGAAGGCGGCUUUCUGGUCUGUAACUGACGCUGAGGCGCGAAAGCGUGGGGAGCAAACAGG
rnacentral:rRNA from 1 species